CAAACACCCUGACUAUCAUUUCAUCUUAAUUUCACACACAAUCUCACGGCAGGAGUCGAAUUAGGGCUCACAACUGGUAGUGAACUGUGAUCUUUAGUUCGAUAUGAAGGCCUAUGACGAAGCUUUAUCUUGUUGGAUAAGAAGCUACUUAUUCCGAUCUACUUGAUGGGCAUUGGGGCUUUAUAGCCGAGAGAUGCAAGCUUUUUAUGCAAUUGUCCAAUCUGGAAUUGCAUGUCCCAUCUUCUUAAAUCAGGUCAAAUGGUUCAAAAAUAUUAUCAAAGGAGAGCUCUGAACUGGGUUUUCCUGAUCAUCUCUAUCCUUAUUUCUAUUUAUUUCGUUUUCAUUUUUUGGGCAUUUUAAAACUUUGUCAGAUAUUAAGAAGUUAUGGAGUGUUGUUAUUGCAAAAUCAUGAACUAUUGAAGGAUACUUAAAGAUCAACAAAUGAAGGAUGGCAUUUAUUUUCAUUUCAUGAAAUGUUUAAUAAAAGCUUUGUAUAUUGACAAUGGCCCAAACAGAGCAUAUAUGUAUAUCUGAUGCUCCAAACGAACCAUAAAUGUUCAGAAGAAUGUUGGGUUGCUAAAUUUAAAGCAGCUUGCUAUUAUGUGUAAAAAUUAGCAUAUUCUUUUGGAGUACGGGAUGACUCGGAUGGGCAGAUAAAACAGAACCUGUCAGUUACGCCUUUAGGGGCCGCCACGUAUAGCUUUAGUUUAUGCUGUAGCAUCGGUUAUUGCUCUGGUUACGAAUGACCCAAUCUAUCUAUGGCAACCACCCCUACUUUUAGUAGAUGGAGAUGCGCACCUAGGAAAGCGCGGAAUAGACCUACGUGUCGGCCAGUGCCGGGGCAGAGAUAGGGACCAUGAAAACAUGGGAUUCAAUCGAACCUUUUCGGACAAUUCCUAACGCAGAAGAGGGAUGCUAAUAAGCUGACAGCUCAGGCAUGGCUUCAAUAGUGAAAGAAGUUCUUUCUGAUUUGAAUCAAGAAAGACAAUGAAUUUACGAGAUCUUGAUCCGUUCAGUGCCUUCACUUGUGAACAACAGGGACCCAUUCUGUUGAUUGCUUCUCUGCCCCAGCUCUAACAAACUGGUUUUUCUUUCUCACAGAAUUAGGGAAAUCAUUAUGGCUUUGGGGUCGACCCCGGUAACAAAGAAGGAAUCCAUAAAAACUUAGGAUCCGACACCAUGAUAAAAUACUACCCUCAUGAUUAGACCAUGUCCCUGAGAUUUGAUAAAAGAAAGGUGCAUUUGCGGUUAAUUCGUUGUCAUUGGAUAAGUUAUUAGGAAUAUGACGGAACGGAAGACCAAGGAAAGAAAGAAGAAUGCACCAAAAUGCAGGUGCUGCACCAAACACUGGUGGUUCUUUCUUGUUGUAAGUGAAUGCAACGAAAAGACCCGUAAAUAACGAAUAAUGAAACAAUUCAUAUAUUGACGUGCUCAUUUCAAAAUUUAUGCUUUGUUAUUCCCAUCAUCCUGUGGUUUCAGGAUGAUCCACAAGAAAGGUGGCAGGAUUCGAACCUACACUCUGACCAUGCCUCACCGCCUUCAACCCAUUAGUCUCCGUUACAAGGUAGGGCGGGGGUGAGGAAAGGCAGAAAUGAGUUCAUGCCACAACGAUCCCUAUGGAAGGGAAAUUUAUCAAUAUUUUUGGCUCGCAAUAAAGCUAGGGUCCUGUUCGGGCAAGCUAUUGAUUCCAUUACCGAACCAAACAAGAUUAUUCCCUUAGUCCUAUCUAUCCACCUCUCCCAGCAUACCCCUGGUUGGGAUGGGUAGGCCCACCACUUCACUUUCACUUAGGCCCGGGCCAAGUCAGUGGGGGGACCCUGUCGGGCUCCUUCCCCCCCAAAAAAAGAAACUGUACGUGAGAGUUUCCCUUCAUACGGCUCGAAUCAUUCUCAGAUGCCCCGAGAGGCAUCCUUUCCUUGUUUGUUGGGUUGGUUCACGCGCGCGCAAACGAGCACCGGCCGCAACAGCAGAAAACUAUGACCAAUAGAGUCAGACACUUAGCUACAUCCGCACGCAAAAGGAAUGUGGUUCUGGUUGAGGCUUUCUUUUCCUUAUUAGUAAAGGGGGCUAGGGACGUUCGCGGAGUCCAUGCCUUCCGUACCACCGAAAGGUCGUUCUUGGGCGGAUCCCGCUCCUAAACAUAAGGGAUAGGGGUCCUGGGGCCGGGCCUACCAUAUAAAAAGGGUCGUAGAAAAAGAACCCGGCCACCUAUUUCAUUCGGCGUUCCGGGGCAGGGGCCCGACCGAUUCGACCUACUUUUGCUUUUGGAUAACAAGAAGGCGAGCUUCUCUGCUUUGAUCAAAUCAAAAGCCCAGUCAGCCACCAACUCGGUGCAAGUCACGUGACCUACAGCUCGGCCUUCGCUUUUUGAGGCUUCCUCUACCCACAUCUCUAUGUGCCCGCAGCACUUCCAUAUGGAGAAAGAUAGGCUUACCAUGUUCCAUCAAUAGCACCUAACCUAUGCCGAUUUUGGCGGACCGUGCUCCACCCCGGUGAACUCAUGCGGUUCCGACGUGCCCAGAGGCCAGAGGCGAAUCCGUUCACAGUCCGUAGGACCAACACCAUUCGAAGGUGGGCGGCCCACCCCGCCUAGAACAGUUAUGUUUGACUGGGCUUACACACAUUCGCUCACUUACGUUGUCCCCCCUCAGCUCACCCUAGCCCCCGGCCUUUUGCUCUUCUAACGUAAGCUCCAAGGCUUCACACCAAGUCUUCACUGACAUAAUAUGCAUGCUUAAGUAGGGUCAGGCAGAACCGUUGUUGCCUGAUGGGAACUUCCCCCAUAUUGCUAUCAAUGUCUUCAUGUCGCACGACCUCUUAACAUUACACCACUGAAUCCCCAAUCCUUUGCUUGCUGUGCAGUGACAGUACCAAUAUCCACUAAUCGUUGUUUCCAGAUACGGUUGCCGGUUGACAUCUCUUCUAAUUCGUCGAUACGAGAAGCAAAUUGUUGUGUGGAGGAAUCAAUAUCUCGACAUAAGCCAAGAGGCAGAUCUUGUGCCACUCCACCUGGUCGUAUGAAACUGGCAUGCAUCCUGGCUCCCGAGACUCUUUCAUAGAAUUCCAACAAUUUUUCCCGCUCCUCAAAAGCCCACAGGAACGGAGUUGAUGCUCCCACAUCCAUAGCAUGAGUAGUUAAAGCAAGUGAAUGAUUUGAAAUUCGAGUUAUUUCACGGAAUAACAUUCGUAUAUAUUGAGCUCGUAAUGGUACCUCGCAAUUCAAAAGUCUCUCUACGGCUGAAGAAUGAGCGUGUUCUUGGGCCAUCGUAGAAACAUAGAUAGGGUCGACGACGGAACGAAGAACGAAACUUUACGACAGCUUUUUCGUACACGUUCACUUGCAUCACAUACACAAGUGCUCUCUGAACCGUGCAAUAAGGUCACCCAUAACACGGCUCUCCCAUUUGAGUUAUCUUAGCCCCCAGCCAUGCUAUUCAAUAAUCUUAGAAAAAUGGCAGCGUAAGGUAACAACUAGUAUUGAAAGCUGGUCGCCUUUGGAAGCGUUCGCUGGUAACCAAAGCGUCUCGUUCCCGCAACCACUUUGGUACUUUGUUUAUAGCUUUUUUAGGUUAUGCAAUAGAAGGGGGCUUGCGCUUGAAUUGAAGUAGCGCCUUUGGAAUAUGAGUAGGGCUCCUAGGUGGCGCGUUCGUGGAGGCAACCCGAAGGAAGAGCAAAAAGAAGGUUGGGUGCUUGUGGGGCAAGGCCACCCGGCCUCGAAUAGGAGGGGGCUUAGCUCUGGAUCCUCCCUGCUUGCAGAAAUGAAUGGAUCAGAAGGGGGCUGGAUUCUCUAUUUCCGGGCCGGGCGGGAGGUGAAGGCCAUAAGAGAAGAUUGCCCUCCCGGUAAGGAAGAGGGGAAAAAGGCGCUGUCAUCUAUCUCGACCAGUUUCCCGAGGCGUUGGAAAUCCAGACCGGCUCAGAGAAUCACUGGUGCUAUUUAGCCCUUCGUUUCGACAACAAAGAAGUCAUCUUUGACGAUUUCCCAUUCCUUCCCUGCCGAGCCGCCUCUCUUCGCCAUUCGGUGCCUCUGCCUUCCCUUUCUAUAACAUAGCCAAGCGCCCUCCUUUACAAUCACUAAGAAAAAAGAAA